rnacentral:tRNA from 1 species
GGAGAGUUGGCUGAGUGGUCGAAGGCGCACGAUUGGAAAUCGUGUGUACGUUUAAAGCGUACCUAGGGUUCAAAUCCCUAACUCUCCGCCA